rnacentral:rRNA from 1 species
GACGAACGCUGGCGGCGUGCUUAACACAUGCAAGUUGAACGCUGAAGCUUGGUGCUUGCACUGGGUGGAUGAGUGGCGAACGGGUGAGUAAUACGUGAGUAACCUGCCCUUGACUCUGGGAUAAGCCUGGGAAACUGGGUCUAAUACUGGAUACGACAUGUCACCGCAUGGUGGUGUGUGGAAAGGGUUUUACUGGUUUUGGAUGGGCUCACGGCCUAUCAGCUUGUUGGUGGGGCAAUGGCUCACCAAGGCGACGACGGGUAGCCGGCCUGAGAGGGUGACCGGCCACACUGGGACUGAGACACGGCCCAGACUCCUACGGGAGGCAGCAGUGGGGAAUAUUGCACAAUGGGCGGAAGCCUGAUGCAGCGACGCCGCGUGAGGGAUGACGGCCUUCGGGUUGUAAACCUCUUUCAGCACGGAAGAAGCGAAAGUGACGGUACGUGCAGAAGAAGCGCCGGCUAACUACGUG